rnacentral:rRNA from 1 species
GAUGAACGCUGGCGGCGUGCUUAACACAUGCAAGUCGAACGGACAGACCUGGAUUUUGUUCCUGUGUCGGUAGCGGCGGAUGGGUAAGUAACACGUGGAUCAUCUAUCUAUUAGACUGGGAUAACGUAGAAACAUGGGAGCCAGUAUCGGAUUAUAUAUUGGACUGCAUGGUUCUAUCGGGAAAGGAGAUUGUGUUUCUAGUUAUAGGUGGUUCCGCGCCGCAUUAGCUAGUUGGUAAGGGGACGGCUUACUAAGGCGACGAUGCGUAGCCGACGUGAGAGGGUGAUCGGCCACACUGGCACUGAGACACGGUCCAGACUCCUACGGGAGGCAGCAGUAGGGAAUCUGCCGCAAUGGGCGAAAGCCUGACGGAGCAACGCCGCGUGAGUGAUGAAGGUCUUCGGAUCGUAAAUCUCUGUUAUUAGGGAAGAACAAAUGUGUAAGUAACUAUGCACGUCUUGACGGUACCUAAUCAGAAAGCCACGGCUAACUACGUG